AGUCACUGACAUUAGAUACCCGGGUAGUCCCAGCCGUAAACUAUGCGCGUUAGGUGUACUGGUGACCACGAGUCACCGGGGUGCCGAAGGGAAACCGUGAAACGUGCCGCCUGGGAAGUACGGUCGCAAGGCUGAAACUUAAAGGAAUUGGCGGGGGAGCACCGCAACGGGAGGAGCGUGCGGUUUAAUUGGAUUCAACACCGUAAAACUCACCAGGGAAGACUGUUACAUGAAGGCCGAGAUGAAGACUCUGCUAGAUUUUCAG
rnacentral:rRNA from 1 species